rnacentral:lncRNA from 1 species
UUUAGAUGGAAUGCAUCCCUUUUUUCUGUAUUUAGAAUAAUGUUGGCCUGAGGCUUCGCAGAGAUAGCCUUUAUGAUGUUGACAUGAGUUCCUGUUAUCCCUAGAUUUUCCAGUGUUUUGAACAUAAAGCAGUGCUGUAUUUUGUCAAAUGCUUUUUCUGCAUCUAUUGAGAUAUGGUUCUUAUCUUGAAGUCUAUUAAUGUGAUGAAUUAUAUUGAUUGAUUUCCAUAUGUUGAACAAACCUUGCAUACCUGGGAUGAAUCACACCUGAUCAUGGUGCAUGCUAUUUUUUAUAUGUUUUUGUAUUCAAUUUGCCAGAAUUUAAUUGAGGAUUUUUGCAUAUAUAUUCAUUAGAGAUACUGGUCUGAGGUUUUCUUUCUUUGAGGUUUCUUUCUCUGGUUUGGGAAUCAGGGUGAUAUUGGCCUCAUAGAAUGAAGUUGGAAGUACUCCUUCUUUUUCUGUUUCCUGAAAUAGACUGAAGAGUAUUGGUAUUAGUUCUUCCUGAGAAGUCUUUUAAAACUUGGCUCUAUAUCCAUCUGGUCCUGGGCUUUUCUUGGUUGCUGAUCUUUGGAUGACUUCUUCUAAGUCCUCACUUGAUAUUGGUCUCUUUAAGUGAUGUAUGUUGGGGAUGCAAAUCAAGUCAAGAUGGCGCCUGGCAGUUUACCAGGAGGAGUGGUUUGUUAAGCAAUGCCAGCGAGCCAUUAAGAUGAUGAGGAUUCCUUAUUUGCUGACUGCUGUAUCUAGAUGAUGUUAAUUGAGUCAAGCUGU